AAGAAAAGUUGCAAUAUAUGAAUUAAACAAGGUUUUACUUUGUUACUCAUUUGGGAGGUGAUCUAAUUUAUCCCAUCGACUUCCAAAUUAGUUCCAGCAUCCCUCCUUAAGGGUCUUCACUGUAGUAGAUUCUACUUGGCAUUUGGGACCAUCUGGUAUCCUCAGAUCUUGGUCUGGAACAGCUCCCACCACUUAUCAAUAUUUUCUGUCUCUGUUAUUCUGCCCUUAGAGAUACCACUGAGAAUGUCCAAAGGUGAUUCUUGGUCUAUAAAAAAACUGCUGCCCGACAUGUCCCUGUCAACUGACUUGCCUAGUGUGGUGCCACCCUAUCUGAGAGCCAUGAUGAAGAUAGUGGGGCUUAAGAGGCUGUCAAAUAUGUGGUAGGCUCCAUGUGAACAAGCUAUGUGCAUCUCCAGUGGUCCAAGAUUGAGAGGAGUGCCUGGGGCUCUGACAAUGGUCUCUCUAUGCUGUCUUGGUAGUGCCAUGGAGCUUUCUUUCUCUAGGCAGGUGGGUGGCAUAGCCUUCCUUAGGAGUGCCUGACAGUAUUUCAUGCUCUCCAUCUCAGUAAAGGGUACUUCUCCAUCACUAUGUUGCCUCUUAAACCCAGGGCUGCCAGUCAGUGGUGGGUAGCUCCUAGGCAACAAUCAAUGGCUUGCCAGCUGAGCUGGGUACCCGGCAGCACUUGGAAGAGCCAAGCCCUCCACUCACAGGACCCUGGCCACCCUUAAAAGUAAAAAGUCAGAACACUUCUCGUCCAUAGGUGGAGAACAGAUGACAGGCUGAGGCAGGAGGUCUGAGUCUGGGCUUUGGCUGAACAUUGUAGAAAGCCUGGGGACCAGGAAGGCUUUACUGUACAUGGCUUCUGUGUCUAGGUGACUGGGGGACUUUGGAAAGUGGAGGAGUGGGAGUGAGAAGGAACUGAGGUUACAGUUGUGACGAAAGGAUAUGCCCCAGGGAAACCCAGAGGUCUGCCAUGUACUUAUAACAAGGUGAAGCCAGUCCUAGCCCUGCUGUGUCCCUCUGUAAUGGGUGGGAUCUGUGUAGGUUUGCUCUGCUGCACUUAGCCCCUGUUCAUCUCAUCCCUUUUUCUUAUGAGCCAAGUAAAAACCACAGAAGCUGGGUGGUAGUGGCCCAUGCCUUUAAUCCCAGUACAGAGUUGGAGGUCAUCCUGAGUUCCAGGACAGCCAAGGCUACACAGAGAAACUCUGUCCCUGCCUCACCCUGUCACUCACCCCUCUCC
rnacentral:lncRNA from 1 species